rnacentral:lncRNA from 1 species
CUACCUCACUCCAGGGUCCUGUUUUCCACUGUGCAGGGCAGGGCACUCUGUUACAGGGCCGGCGGCUCUCGGGACGGUCACCCAUGCAGUAUUUGCUGUGCACAGAGCGGUUGGUGCCAUCAAGGAGUGGCUGAAGGCAGCGUACAGUGCGAAGCUGAUAGCCAGAACUUCCACAGGUUUUGGUGCAGUGUUCCCAUUCUUCUGCUACCCAGCUUACCAAGAAUAUGAGGAGAAGCCUCGUCUUCUUGGAUUAACACAUGUCUAGCCCCAGGGGGUAUAUCAAACAUCUUAAGG